rnacentral:ribozyme from 1 species
UUUUUAACUCCGCCUGUGCUGAUCGUGUUUGAUUGCACUGCCGGUCCCAAGCCCGGAUAAAGGAGGAGGGGAAA